ACUCCUACGGGAGGCAGCAGUGGGGAAUAUUGGACAAUGGGGGCAACCCUGAUCCAGCCAUGCCGCGUGUGUGAAGAAGGCCUUUUGGUUGUAAAGCACUUUAAGCAGGGAGGAGAGGCUAAUGGUUAAUACCCAUUAGAUUAGACGUUACCUGCAGAAUAAGCACCGGCUAACUCUGUGCCAGCAGCCGCGGUAAUACAGAGGGUGCGAGCGUUAAUCGGAAUUACUGGGCGUAAAGCGAUGUGUAGGUGGCUCAUUAAGUCACAUGUGAAAUCCCCGGGCUUAACCUGGGAACUGCAUGUGAUACUGGUGGUGCUAGAAUAUGUGAGAGGGAAGUAGAAUUCCAGGUGUAGCGGUGAAAUGCGUAGAGAUCUGGAGGAAUACCGAUGGCGAAGGCAGCUUCCUGGCAUAAUAUUGACACUGAGAUUCGAAAGCGUGGGUAGCAAACAGGAUUAGAUACCCUGGUAGCGAGUAG
rnacentral:rRNA from 1 species